GUCAGAGUUUGAUCCUGGCUCAGAACGAACGCUGGCGGCAGGCUUAACACAUGCAAGUCGAACGCCCCGCAAGGGGAGUGGCAGACGGGUGAGUAACGCGUGGGAAUCUACCUAGUUCUACGGAACAACACAGGGAAACUUGUGCUAAUACCGUAUACGCCCUACGGGGGAAAGAUUUAUCGGAAUUAGAUGAGCCCGCGUAAGAUUAGCUAGUUGGUGGGGUAACGGCUCACCAAGGCAACGACGGGUAGCUGGUCUGAGAGGACGACCAGCCACACUGGAACUGAGACACGGUCCAGACACCUACGGGUGGCAGCAGUCGAGAAUCUUUCACAAUGGGGGCAACCC
rnacentral:rRNA from 1 species